GAACGGGUGAGUAACACGUGAGUAACCUGCCCCUGACUCUGGGAUAAGCCCGGGAAACUGGGUCUAAUACCGGAUACGACCGCCUCCGGCAUCGGAUGGUGGUGGAAAGUUUUUCGGUCGGGGAUGGGCUCGCGGCCUAUCAGCUUGUUGGUGGGGUAGUGGCCUACCAAGGCGACGACGGGUAGCCGGCCUGAGAGGGCGACCGGCCACACUGGGACUGAGACACGGCCCAGACUCCUACGGGAGGCAGCAGUGGGGAAUAUUGCGCAAUGGGCGGAAGCCUGACGCAGCGACGCCGCGUGGGGGAUGACGGCCUUCGGGUUGUAAACCUCUUUCAGCAGGGACGAAGUUGACGUGUACCUGCAGAAGAAGCGCCGGCUAACUACGUGCCAGCAGCCGCGGUAAUACGUAGGGCGCAAGCGUUGUCCGGAAUUAUUGGGCGUAAAGAGCUCGUAGGUGGCUGGUCGCGUCUGCCGUGAAAGCCCGCAGCUUAACUGCGGGUCUGCGGUGGAUACGGGCCGGCUAGAGGUAGGUAGGGGCAAGUGGAAUUCCUGGUGUAGCGGUGAAAUGCGCAGAUAUCAGGAGGAACACCGGUGGCGAAGGCGGCUUGCUGGGCCUUACCUGACGCUGAGGAGCGAAAG
rnacentral:rRNA from 2 species